rnacentral:rRNA from 1 species
GACGAACCGAGCGAACGUUGUUCGGAAUCACUGGCUUAAAGGGCGCGUAGGCGGGUGCUCAAGUCUGUGGUGAAAUCCUCCGGCUCAACCGGAGAACGGCCAUGGAUACUGGGUGUCUCGAGGGUGAUAGGGGUAUGCGGAACUAUCGGUGGAGCGGUGAAAUGCGUUGAUAUCGAUAGGAACUCCGGUGGCGAAGGCGGCAUACUGGAUCACUUCUGACGCUGAGGCGCGAAAGCCAGGGGAGCGAACGGG